UACGGAGGGUGCAAGCGUUGUCCGGAUUUAUUGGGUUUAAAGGGUGCGUAGGCGGCCCGGUAAGUCAGUGGUGAAAGCCUCCAGCUCAACUGGAGAACUGCCAUUGAUACUGCCGGGCUUGAGUACAGACGAGGUUGGCGGAAUUGAUUGUGUAGCGGUGAAAUGCAUAGAUACAAUCAAGAACUCCGAUUGCGUAGGCAGCUAACUAGGCUGUAACUGACGCUGAGACGCGAAAGCUAGGGGAGCGAACAGG
rnacentral:rRNA from 1 species